AGCGAACGCUGGCGGCAGGCCUAACACAUGCAAGUCGAACGAACCUUUCGGGGUUAGUGGCGGACGGGUGAGUAACACGUGGGAACGUGCCUUUAGGUUCGGAAUAACUCAGGGAAACUUGUGCUAAUACCGAAUGUGCCCUUCGGGGGAAAGAUUAAUCGCCUUUAGAGCGGCCCGCGUCUGAUUAGCUAGUUGGUUGAGGUAAUGGCUCACCAAGGCGACGAUCAGUAGCUGGUCUGAGAGGAUGAUCAGCCACAUUGGGACUGAGACACGGCCCAAACUCCUACGGGAGGCAGCAGUGGGGAAUCUUGCGCAAUGGGCGAAAGCCUGACGCAGCCAAGCCGCGUGAAUGAUGAAGGUCUUAGGAUUGUAAAAUUCUUUCACCGGGGACGAUAAUGACGGUACCCGGAGAAGAAGCCCCGGCUAACUUCGUG
rnacentral:rRNA from 1 species